ensembl:lncRNA
CCCAGUGGGAGGGGGGCAAAGAUGGCUUUAAGUCACCCGGGCAUCUUUCCAGUUCUGAGUUGUCACAUGCACUAGGCAGAGGAGUGGCUGCUCUAAUUUCCCACAGUUUGUCCCCAGGGGCUGCCCAUGUGCUACUCUGCAUCCCCCAGAAGCAGAGAGUUUCUAUGGCCCUAAGUGACAGAGAGACAUAUGCCCCCAGCCCGGCAUUCAUACUCCAGGCCAAUGUUUUCAGUGGUGGGAGGCAGCAAAGAGCCACUUGUUGCAGCCUGAUGCAGGUCUUAUGCUGGGGCAAUUCUGCCCUGGUGACUGCAGGGCUUUCCUGGCCCCUCUAGCCCACCGGAGCAGCCUGCAGGGGCCUCGGCAGAGAGGAGAAUCCCUCCCCUGUGUCUCUUGAAGCCUAAACCUUGUUUUUAGGAACAAGAAUGUUUAGUAGCACUGAGAAAACGACCUUUCGUCCUGGGGAAUCUGAUUUACUGAGUCUGUUUUUAUCAACAGCUAAUUCUUCCCCACCCCCAACAGAAAGGUCAUUAUCAGCGACAGAUAAUUCUUCCCCUAAUUCAACAGAAAGGUCAUCAACGACAGUGCAACCAGCUUCUUCUUCCACGUCAAAAUCUACUUCCAUCUCCUCCACUGCUGAGAAAGGGAAAUCCAGCUUCUCCAGUGACCAGGACAUCACUGCCUUCAUGGACCCAGACCCAGACAUCCUCCUCCGCAUCCUGCUACCAUGCGUCCUGCUGCUUCUCAUUUUGUUUCUGCUCGCUGCUGUGAUGUUGGUGAGACUGUCCAAGAAGAGGAAGAAAGAGCUUUCAGGAGCAUCUGUGCAGAGGGACAAGAACAUCAACCUGUCAAAUUUGGGGUCAGAAGAGGUUUCUUAUGCCACUGUGACGAUUUCCACUCCUGACCAGCAGCCCAUCUAUGCCAACGUGGAGCAGCGCCCCAAGACAACACGCCCACCCAAGCCCCCUGAGGAAACCCUGUACAGCGCUGUGAAGAAGCCGCCCAAACACUAACCCUGGAUAUGAGGCGGAGUGGGGAUGGGGGGCUGCAUUGUCCUUAUCCAAGCUGCUUGAUCCCUACCUGGAAAAAUUUGAAGUAACCGGGUUUAGAACCAAAUCUGACCUGUACAAACUCCAGGACUUACGGACACACUCAGCCUGGAUCUGGAGUCUGUGGGUCUGUAUGAGGCACAGGUGGCCUGAUGGAAUUAAACAGUUGCAGUUAUCUUGUGAGGAGUGAGUUCAAAGACCAAUGGCUGGGCGUACAGACAGUGAAACUCCCCAGGAUCUGUUCAGCAGGACAAGAGAGAUACGUGGCUCUAUGGUUACGGAGUUGUCGGAUGUUUUCAGUUUCACAGGAGUUUUAAACCUUUACUUCAUAAAAUUCUCAUUCAAGUGGCAAAAUCCAAAAUCCAGAUCAUGAACUUUGAGCAUAAUUUGACUUGUUCCUGGUCUGAUGAAAAACGUACCCAUUUCGCAAGAAAUCUAAGACACUCUGGGCUCUGUCCUUUGGCCACAUUGUUGCUUCUCAAAUGCUAAUUGCCCAAAGAUCAGUUACACAGAGGGGGUAUUUGCCUACAUAGUAUUUUGUAACUUUCUAGUCAUAACUCCGUUGACAGCAGAACCAUGCCCAUUGGUGAUAGGUUGUGUCUACACUGAAGAGCUACAGGGACACAGCUACACCGGUGCCGUUGCAGCCUUUCAAGUGUAGACAAGCCCCCAGUCACUAUCUCCAACCACAAAACCUUAACAAGCACCUGGCUGUGUUAAGGCAAAAGGAACUUGCCAAGUGCCUGGGCCACUUGACAGUCAGAGAUGCUGAGCUCUUGAUAGAAACACAUAUGUGGUCACUGUUAAGGUUUUGCUUUAGGGUGCAAGUUUGCUGACGUUGGGUACAUGUUGCGUUUGGUUGUUAGAAACGGAAGUGAAAGCCGUAAGGGCUGAAGUGCGGAACUCCCAGCCCUACAGGCAAUACGGGCGUGGAAAGGAAUCCCAAAGUCUUUCCUCUUAACCU